GUCCUAAAUAUAAAGCUUUACUACCACUAUCACAUAAACUUAACAUGAUCCAAGAAAAUGAGGUCAAGGUCAUAUAAACCAAACAAGAAAUACAUGUACACCUUACAAUCAUUCAAUACACUAAAUAUAGUUGACCUAUUGCUUAUAGUUUCUAAGAAAUAGACUUAACCAAGAAAACUAAACAUUGACCAAUGAACCAUGAAAAUGAGGUCAAGGUCAGAUGAACCAUGCUAGGCAGGCAUGUACAGCUAACAAUUCUUCCAUACAACAAAUAUAGUUGACCUAUUACUUAUAGUUUAAGAAAAACAGACCAAAACACAAAACUUAAAACUGAGCAAUGAACCUUGAAAAUGAGGUCAAGGUAAAAAAAAAACCUGCGUGACUGACAAAUAGAUCAUAAAAUAUUUCCAUACACCAAAUAUAGUUGAACUAUUGCAUAUAGUAUUAGAAAAAAAGACCAAAACUCAAAAACUUAACUUCAUCAGAAGGGAUUGACAAAUAUGGCCAUUUUUUUUUUAUUUCCUCUUGAGUACAGACAAACCUGUGCACAAGGAAAAGUUUUAAGGCA